GGCUCAUUGGUCUAGUGGUAUGAUUCGCGCUUCGGGUUAUUUACCCAUUGCUUGGAAACAAGUAACAAGUUUGUGCGAGGUCUCGGGUUCGAUCCCCGAAUGAGCCC